rnacentral:misc_RNA from 1 species
CGCACAUUGCGCCCUUUAGUAUUCUUUAGGGCAUGCCUGUUCGAGCGUCAUUUAAACCUUCAAGCACAGCUUGGUGUUGGGUACCUGCCCGUUUUUCGGGCUUACCUCAAAGAUAUUGGCAGCUUGUCUAUCCGCUAUCAGCGCAGCACAAAUGCGUCUAAGGCGGGUGGACGAGCAUCCAGAAGCUUUCUAUUAUCUUGACCUCGGAUCAGGUAGGGAUACCCGCUGAACUUAA